rnacentral:tRNA from 1 species
AAGGACUUAAGUUAAUGAAACUGAAAGCCUUCAAAGCUUUAAAUAAGAAUGGAACUUUCUUAGUCCUUG